rnacentral:rRNA from 1 species
AGAGUUUGAUCAUGGCUCAGAUUGAACGCUGGCGGCAUGCCUUACACAUGCAAGUCGAACGGCAGCAUGAUCUAGCUUGCUAGAUUGAUGGCGAGUGGCGAACGGGUGAGUAAUACAUCGGAACGUGCCCUGUAGUGGGGGAUAACUAGCCGAAAGAUUAGCUAAUACCGCAUACGACCUGAGGGUGAAAGUGGGGGACCGCAAGGCCUCAUGCUAUAGGAGCGGCCGAUGUCUGAUUAGCUAGUUGGUGAGGUAAAGGCUCACCAAGGCGACGAUCCAGUAGCUGGUCUGAGAGGACGAUCAGCCACACUGGGACUGAGACACGGCCCAGACUCCUACGGGAGGCAGCAGUGGGGAAUUUUGGACAAUGGGCGAAAGCCUGAUCCAGCAAUGCCGCGUGUGUGAAGAAGGCCUUCGGGUUGUAAAGCACUUUUGUCCGGAAAGAAAUGGCUCUGGUUAAUACCUGGGGUCGAUGACGGUACCGGAAGAAUAAGGACCGGCUAACUACGUGCCAGCAGCCGCGGUAAUACGUAGGGUCCAAGCGUUAAUCGGAAUUACUGGGCGUAAAGCGUGCGCAGGCGGUUGUGCAAGACCGAUGUGAAAUCCCCGAGCUUAACUUGGGAAUUGCAUUGGUGACUGCACGGCUAGAGUGUGUCAGAGGGGGGUAGAAUUCCACGUGUAGCAGUGAAAUGCGUAGAGAUGUGGAGGAAUACCGAUGGCGAAGGCAGCCCCCUGGGAUAACACUGACGCUCAUGCACGAAAGCGUGGGGAGCAAACAGGAUUAGAUACCCUGGUAGUCCACGCCCUAAACGAUGUCAACUAGUUGUUGGGGAUUCAUUUCCUUAGUAACGUAGCUAACGCGUGAAGUUGACCGCCUGGGGAGUACGGUCGCAAGAUUAAAACUCAAAGGAAUUGACGG